rnacentral:rRNA from 1 species
UACGUAGGGGGCAAGCGUUGUCCGGAUUUAUUGGGCGUAAAGAGCGCGUAGGCGGCUAGGUAGGUCCGUUGUGAAAACUCGAGGCUCAACCUCGAGACGUCGAUGGAAACCAUCUAGCUAGAGUCCGGAAGAGGAGAGUGGAAUUCCUGGUGUAGCGGUGAAAUGCGCAGAUAUCAGGAAGAACACCCGUGGCGAAGGCGGCUCUCUGGUACGUGACUGACGCUGAGACGCGAAAGCGUGGGGAGCGAACAGG